GGCGGACGGGUGAGUAACACGUGGGCAACCUACCCGUAAGACCGGGAUAACUCCGGGAAACCGGAGCUAAUACCGGAUAACACCGAAGACCGCAUGGUCUUCGGUUGAAAGGCGGCUUUGGCUGUCACUUACGGAUGGGCCCGCGGCGCAUUAGCUAGUUGGUGAGGUAACGGCUCACCAAGGCGACGAUGCGUAGCCGGCCUGAGAGGGUGACCGGCCACACUGGGACUGAGACACGGCCCAGACUCCUACGGGAGGCAGCAGUAGGGAAUCUUCCGCAAUGGACGAAAGUCUGACGGAGCGACGCCGCGUGAGCGAAGAAGGUCUUCGGAUCGUAAAGCUCUGUUGUUAGGGAAGAA
rnacentral:rRNA from 1 species